rnacentral:rRNA from 1 species
CCUACGGGGGGCAGCAGUAGGGAAUUUUUCACAAUGGGCGAAAGCCUGAUGGAGCAACGCAGCGUGCAGGAUGAAGGCCUUCGGGUUGUAAACUGCUUUUAUAAGCGAGAAAUAUGAUGGUAACUUAUGAAUAAGGAUCGGCUAACUACGUGCCAGAUGCCGCGGUCCUACAUAGGAUCCGAGCAUUAUCCGGAGUGACUGGGUGUAAAGAGUUGCGUAGGUGGCAUAAUAAGUAGCUAGUGGAAUGUGGUGGCUCAACCAUUCAGACUAUUCGCGAUACUGUUAAGCUCGAGACCGGUAGGGGUAACUGGAAUUUGUGGUGUAGGAGUGAAAUCCGUAGAUAUUAGAAAGAACACCGAUAGCGAAGGCAGGUUACUGGGACGGUUCUGACACUAAGGCACGAAAGCGUAGGGAGCAAACGGGAUUAGAUACCCCUGUAGUC